AUUGAACGCUGGCGGCAUGCUUUACACAUGCAAGUCGAACGGUAACAGGGAGCUUGCUCCGCUGACGAGUGGCGAACGGGUGAGUAAUGCGUCGGAACGUGCCGAGUAGUGGGGGAUAACGCAUCGAAAGGUGUGCUAAUACCGCAUACGUACUGAGGUAGAAAGUGGGGGACCUUCGGGCCUCACGCUAUUCGAGCGGCCGACGUCUGAUUAGCUAGUUGGUGAGGUAAAGGCUCACCAAGGCGACGAUCAGUAGCGGGUCUGAGAGGAUGAUCCGGCACACUGGGACUGAGACACGGCCCAGACUCCGACGGGAGGCAGCAGUGGGGAAUUUUGGACAAUGGGCGCAAGCCUGAUCCAGCCAUGCCGCGGGUCUGAAGAAGGCCUUCGGGUUGUAAAGGACUUUUGUCCGGGAGCAAAUGCUGGUGGCUAACAUCCACCGGAGCUGAGAGUACCGGAAGAAUAAGCACCGGCUAACUACGUGCCAGCAGCCGCCGUAAAAC
rnacentral:rRNA from 1 species